rnacentral:rRNA from 1 species
AGGCUAAUCCGCCCUGGGUAAGUCGGGACCUAAGGCGAGGCCGACAGGCGUAGUCGAUGGACAACGGGUUGAUAUUCCCGUACCGGCGAAGAACCGACCAAACUAAUCCAGUAAUGCUAAGUAGCUGAAGCUGCUUACUGAUGCCUUCGGGCAGAGGUGGGCAGUCGAGCCUACGACCCUAUUCUGGUGCGGUUAACGUAUUAACAGGUGUGACGCAGGAAGGUAGCCUCCGCGGGGCGAUGGUUGUCCCCGUUUAAGGAUGUAGGGCGAGAGAUAGGCAAAUCCGUCUCUCACAUAGCCUGAGAUCUGAUGAUGAGUCCUUAUGGACGAAGUGGGUGAUCCUAUGCUGCCAAGAAAAGCAUCGACGUGAGGUUCAAGCUGCCCGUACCCCAAACCGACUCAGGUAGUCAAGUAGAGAAUACUAAGGGGAUCGAGAGAAUCGUGGUUAAGGAACUCGGCAAAAUGCCCCCGUAACUUCGGGAGAAGGGGGGCCUGAGGCGUGAAGACAUUUACUGUUGGAGCGCUGUAUGGCCGCAGAGACCAGUGGGGAGCGACUGUUUAUCAAAAACACAGGUCCGUGCGAAGUCGCAAGACGAUGUAUACGGACUGACGCCUGCCCGGUGCUGGAAGGUUAAGAGGAUGGGUUAGCUUCGGCAAAGCUCAGAAUUUAAGCCCCAGUAAACGGCGGUGGUAACUAUAACCAUCCUAAGGUAGCGAAAUUCCUUGUCGGGUAAGUUCCGACCUGCACGAAUGGCGUAACGACUCCCCAACUGUCUCAACCGCGAACUCGGCGAAAUUGCACUAUGAGUGAAGAUGCUCAUUACGCGCAGAAGGACGAAAAGACCCCGUGACCUUUACUAUAGCUUGGUAUUGGUGUUCGGUGCUGCAUGUGUAGGAUAGGUGGGAGACUAUGAAGCUUGGACGCUAGUUCAGGUGGAGUCAUUGUUGAAAUACCACUCUUGUAGCCCUGGAUAUCUAACCGCGAACCGUGAUCCGGUUCCGGGACAGUGCCUGGUGGGUAGUUUAACUGGGGCGGUUGCCUCCUAAAAAGUAACGGAGGCGCCCAAAGGUUCCCUCAGCCUGGUUGGUAAUCAGGUGUCGAGUGUAAGUGCACAAG